GCUCCCAUGGCGUAGUGGUCACUGCGCUCGCCUUGCACGCGGGAGACCCGGGUUUGAUUCCCGGCGGGGUCA
rfam:Asian citrus Psyllid, Diaphorina citri - Florida Strain, whole genome shotgun sequence.